GGACAUCACAACAGCUUGGAAGAAAGCUUCCUUUCGUUUUCAGUGGUCCCUUCGUAUUUAUCCUGAACAUAAAGUCAUUAUGAGGGGGUGCAUGUCUCAUCUAUUUUGUGCAUUCCUUUGUCCCUUCAAGUUAAGUGUUAUUAAAGGCCAUGAACAUCCUUACUCCUGAGUUAAGCCUCCCUGAGCACACUGAGGGCAUCCUGUGAGCCGAGCUGGCUACCUGGCUGAUGGCCAGCCAACGCAGGUGGGUGGGUCCCUGCUGCCAGGUGAGGGGGGAGCUGUUGCUCCCCAGGGGAGGCUCAUCUGAAGACCCUGUCAUUUACCUGUUGUGCAUGGUGCUUCCGGUCAAUACUGGUCAACUUCUCUAGGUCACUUGGACCUUAUCUGCUCAACUGAGACCUGUGUUUUUCUAGCUGGAGGAGUAGGAGCUGCCUGUGGCAGUGAGUUAAGAAGACAGAUUUCCAGGACCUCAUGACAAGGUGGACACAGGUACUCCCCCAGUGACUGUGACAUCAGCAAGGCCCACAUUUUCAACAGUUGCCCCUCUGUUUGGUGGGCCCCCAGGCCCCCCAGGCUGGCUGGCUCCCCGCGACUCCUACUGCCUAAAACUAUCAUCCUGCUGUACUCAGAGUGGCCAGUCUUUCACCAGCCUCGAGUGUCACCUUUCCGUGGGACAUAGGCUUGUGUUCCCCAAAGCGAGGCCCACAUCUCUGCUCUCACUGCAACCUUCCAGUCGGCUCCUGUCGUUCUGCCUGCAGAUGCCAGCUAGUAAACAGCAGAGCUUGUCGGCGCCCACGAGGACCGGAGCGUCCCAGAGCCCUGGACCGACCGGCAGCUGCGCGGGGCACGCGAGGCUUUGCAAAGCCCAUCCUUGGUUCAGAACGGAAGAAUGGAGAGGUGGAGAUGAAGACCACGGUGUGCAAUUUUAAAGUACUCAACUUUGACAGUUUCAGAGACGCCAAGGCAGUGACCGGUUCGCCCACCCACGGACAGGAGCAGAAAGCAGAUAGUGAGGGAGCAGCAGGAGUGUUUAUCUGCACCCAGAUAGGCAGGGACAUGCUCUGGGCCAACGCUGGCAAACAGGUGGAGGAGGAGGAGGGUAAAAAUCCGCAGAAGAAAACACUGACAUGUUCCGUCGAGGCUCCCGUGGUCUUUCUCAGACUGCCCAGCAAAGGACAGGGAUUUACCCCACGGUGAAGACAAAUGCAGUCGAAGGCUCUUCCUUAUUGCAUCUCACGGGACCUCUAUCCUCCCAUCAACGUCAUUUAAACCUUUGAAUCCCGAUUGUCCAGUGAUUUGUGGCUACCUUGGCCUGACCAGGUUUUCUACAAGACAGGGAAGUAUAUUAAAUAUGCAACAGGAAUGUUUGAUUGCAUUUUUUUUUUUUUUUUACUUUUCAGGGAAUCAGAAUGUAGAUUAGAACUGCAGACUUUUUGAUCAUUAGAGAAGAGUUAGAUAUAAAAAUUGGGUACAAAAUAGGUAGUUUUAAAUACUAACAGCCAACGUCAACAAUAUCAGAGGACGUUAAGCAGAUAAUUAUCUGUCAGAAAUUGCAUCUCGGCACUUCUGGGUUUGUUUCUGUUUUAACCUGCACUACUUGGCCGUCUCUGAAACUUUGGGGUCAGGUCCAGUGCUUUUCUACUGCUGCAUGCAAAUCACACUUCCAGGGUACAAGCUCCAGUUAAGCCUGCCAUGACUUUGACGACUUCCUGUGGCCCAGAGCUAAUGUACAGAGGGUAGCUUCUUGCACGCUGCCAGCACAUGAGAUUCAAGAGCCUCACUUUAUGUUGUAUUUCAUGCGUGGCACACGUUGCACAAACCCAAUGGCUGAAUCUUUCUUCCAAGCAUUUCUGAAAAACUGUAAGUUCCUGAAACACAAACCUAAAAAUGCCAUUAUGCAUGUACCUCAGUUUUACUGGUGCGUUAGUGGGCAUCACUGUUGCCAUCUAUCAGAUAUCUGGGAAGUUUUAUCUUAAAAAUGAAGAAAAAAAACUAUCAUUUUUUGGAAGGUAUUGGUUACACUCUCAAAAUAUGAUUUCUUUCUUUUUGAAAAGUUAAAAUGAUGUUUCAGGAUAUAAAUUCCUGGCCCCUGGGAGAAAGGAUUUAGUAGCAGGAUUUUUAUCAUUCUAGAAAUAGUGUAUAUUUCUGACACAGAGAAUAUUUAUUUCCUAUAUCAUGGUUUUGAAAAUCCUUUAGAAUUUUGUGUGCUUAUUUCUGGAGACAAAGGUUGGAAUUAUUACUAGAGUUAAUUUUCAUUCCUUUCUCAGCAUUGGUUGAUACUGCAGGCACCUUUAAUUUUGAAGAAAGUGUAUAAUGAAGGUGCAAUUUAUAACAUGGGUCCUCAUCCAGUUGGUUUUACUUAAAUAAUUGUAGUUGAGUCCUUCUAGAAAACAAUUUUGCUAUUAUCCCUAGAUUUGAAGCAAAGAUUUGAGAACAUACAUUUAAAGGAAAAAUAAUGAGCUAAGGAAAUCCUAAGAGCCCACAAAGACAGCACUGAAGCAAAAAGACACAAAAAAACAGGCAGUAUGUGGUGUUUUACAGCAGGAUGAUCUCUUCGCCCUGGGUCACUGCAAAUCUUUAAAAAUGGUUUAUUACCUUUGCAUAUAAAUGUCUGAAUUUUUCUUCUUUUGGAUUUUUUGAUUACCUGAAACCACCCAUUUUUUUCCUACUCCUGACACUAGCUACUUCUCUUGGGCUUGAGUCCUUCUGCUGAAAAUAAAGGCGUUAUUUGUGCUGGUUCCUGGGGCCUG
rnacentral:lncRNA from 1 species